rnacentral:rRNA from 1 species
UACGUAGGGACCAAGCGUUGUUCGGAUUUACUGGGCGUAAAGGGCGCGUAGGCGGCAAUUCAAGUCAUCUGUGAAAUCUCCGGGCUUAACUCGGAACGGUCAGGUGAUACUGCUUUGCUAGAGUGCAGAAGGGGCAAUCGGAAUUCUUGGUGUAGCGGUGAAAUGCGUAGAUAUCAAGAGGAACACCUGAGGUGAAGACGGGUUGCUGGGCUGACACUGACGCUGAUGCGCGAAAGCCAGGGGAGCAAACGGG